UAUCUGUGGAAGGGCAGCGUGGUACAGGA
rnacentral:piRNA from 1 species